rnacentral:rRNA from 1 species
ACUCAAAGGAAUUGACGGGGGCCCGCACAAGCGGAGGAACAUGUGGUUUAAUUCGAUGAUACGCGAGGAACCUUACCCGGGCUUGAAAUGGAGUGGAAUAAUUUGGAAACAGGUUAGUCAGCAAUGACCACUUUGUAGGUGCUGCAUGGUUGUCGUCAGCUCGUGCCGUGAGGUGUCGGCUUAAGUGCCAUAACGAGCGCAACCCUUAUCGAUAGUUACCAUCGGGUUAAGCCGGGGACUCUAUUGAGACUGCCACCGUAAGGUGUGAGGAAGGUGGGGAUGACGUCAAAUCAGCACGGCCCUUACGUCCGGGGCGACACACGUGUUACAAUGGGGGAUACAGAGGGUUGCUACCUGGUAACAGGAUGCUAAUCUCAUAAAUUCUCUCUCAGUUCGGAUCGGAGUCUGCAACUCGACUUCGUGAAGUUGGAUUCGCUAGUAAUCGCGCAUCAGCCAUGGCGCGGUGAAUACGUUCCCGGGCCUUGUACACACCGCCCGU